UUUAUUACCAUUAGAGAACAUCAAGAAUACACUUUAUAGGUUAUAUUUUCAAAAAGGAAAAAGCACAUGAUUAUAUUCGGUUCAAUUACGUGUGUUUAAAUACAUGUUAAACGAUGGCAAAUAACAGCGACAGUUGUUUUAUCACUGCACCUGGCUUCUGUCCAGAUUGUGGCUCAAUUUUACCGUUGGUAAAAGAAACGGGAGGAAUUACAUGUUACACGUGCAAGAGAAAAUGGGAUUCCGAAGUUUUUGGCGAUAUGAAUAUGUUACACACAAUUCACUUCAAUAAUAAGUAUACUUAUGCUGAUGCAUCUGACAAAAAAGAUGAGGAUAGUGAGGACGAUGCAGAUGGGCCAGUAGUGGAACGACAAUGUCCUCAAUGUCAAAAUAACAAAAUGUCCUAUGCAACGUUGCAAUUGAGAUCUGCCGAUGAAGGACAAACUGUAUUCUACACAUGUACCAAGUGCAAAUUCAAGGAAACAGAGAAUUCCUAAUCUAAAAUUUUACAUUGUACAUCUUGUUUUAUAAGAAAUAUUGUUACAUAGAACCAAUAUGAUUCUUCCAUUUUUUUUAUAUAAAAUUAUUUUAAAAUAUUUUUGUGUCAUACAACACGACUAAAGAAGUAAAAAACUAAUGUUUUGCAAUAUAUUUCCACAUGUAAUUUAUAUUCCAUGUGUUUUUAUUAAAAUGUACGAUAUUAAUCUGUUACUUAUGAAGUAACUUUGUUAAGUAAAGCAUGGAAGUGAAAGUAUCUGAUUAAUUAAUUAUCUUAUUCCUGUUGCUUUAUCUCAGACAAUACAGAUGUUCAAACAUGUAAAAAAUCAAUAUAAGAUUUAUAUCACGAUUUUGAAUAUGGAUGUUAUCUGGGUAACACUAUCGGAAACAUACAGAUGUGUAUAACAAGAUAGUUGUUGAGAUUUAUAUCUCAAUAUAAAUACACUGCUUUAAUAAAACAUAGAGCUUUAUUUAUAAUACACUCAACAAAUAGUGGUGAAAGAGAGUACACUUGUCAUAAUUUCAUAUAACUCUACUGGGUCACAAUAUCUUCUUUCUAACAAUGCUCCAUUACCUUAAUUAAGUGUAAGUAAUUUUGUAUGUACAAUGCGCAUGUCGAGAUAAAAGUUAACAGUUAUUUUUAAUAAAUUCACCUUGAUCCACUCUCAAAAUUGUUACAGUGGUCCUUGCAUUAAAAAACUUUAAUAGAGAGUUUGUCGAUAGUCUCUCUUACUUAUCCUAGGUAUGCAUUUACACAUUGGCACUAAUAUUUGCCCAUGGUCUAACAAUAAUGAGAAGUAGAUAUGCUAUCUUACAUUAAGGAAAAAGUAUCUAUAAACUAAUUGUUGAACUUUAUGCCAUUUGUUACGUAAACUAUAGACAUAUAAAUGUGAUAUAAAGUGAUGUAAUUGCACUUUCUUAAUACUCUGGUAUACCCACAAUAUAAGCUCAAAUAAAGAAAUAAAAAAAGAAA
rnacentral:misc_RNA from 1 species